UGGGGAAUUUUGGACAAUGGGCGAAAGCCUGAUCCAGCCGUGCCGCGUGAGUGAAGAAGGCCUUCGGGUUGUAAAGCUCUUUUAGUCGGAAAGAAAGAGUUGCAAUGAAUAAUUGUGAUUUAUGACGGUACCGACAGAAAAAGCACCGGCUAACUACGUGCCAGCAGCCGCGGUAAUACGUAGGGUGCGAGCGUUAAUCGGAAUUACUGGGCGUAAAGGGUGCGCAGGCGGUCUUGCAAGUCAGAUGUGAAAGCCCCGGGCUUAACCUGGGAAUUGCGUUUGAAACUACAAGACUAGAGUGCAGCAGAGGGGAGUGGAAUUCCAUGUGUAGCAGUGAAAUGCGUAGAGAUGUGGAAGAACACCGAUGGCGAAGGCAGCUCCCUGGGUUGACACUGACGCUCAUGCACGAAAGCGUGGGGAGCAAACA
rnacentral:rRNA from 1 species